GCGGUUUUUCCAUGUUUUACCCGGGUUUUUCACAUUUGCUGGGUUAACUAUUAGGAAAAUCAAAAAAUGACCUUUUUAAAGAACCUACCUAGUGAAAUUACCUUUUAGAAAUAUUGCUAUCACUAAAAAUUGGUGCAAAAUUAUUGAUUGAAGAGUAAUGCACAAGAAAAAAAAAAUCGUAAUAUUUUAGUAAUGUAUUUCGUACAUUUUCCCGUUCUUUUUCGGAUUUGAUGAAUAACUCUUAAGAAAAUCGAAAAAUAACCUCUUUAAAGUACCUUUCUGCACUAAAUUCCUUUCAGUAAAGGUGCUACAUUUAGAAAUCUGAGCAAGUCUUCUGGUAGAAAAGUUGUUUACAGAGUAAAAAAAUAAAAAAUAAAAAAUAAAAUAAACAUCUUUGUAAAACCAUAAACUUCUUCGCUCUACUC